AACGAACGCUGGCGGCGUGCCUAACACAUGCAAGUCGAACGAGAAAGUUUCCUUCGGGAAACCAGUAAAGUGGCGCAAGGGUGAGUAACACGUGAAUAAUCUGCCUACGAAUUCGGGAUAACUCGACGAAAGUUGUGCUAAUACCGGAUAAGACCACACUUCUUAUGGAGCGUGGCCAAAGGAGUCUCAAACUCCGUUUGUAGAUGAGUUCGCGGACCAUUAGCUUGUUGGCGGGAUAACAGCCCACCAAGGCGACGAUGGUUAGCCGGCCUGAGAGGGUGAUCGGCCACACUGGAACUGAGACACGGUCCAGACUCCUACGGGAGGCAGCAGUGGGGAAUAUUGCGCAAUGGGCGAAAGCCUGACGCAGCAACGCCGUGUGAGGGAUGAAGGCUUUUGAGUCGUAAACCUCUGUCAGAUGGGAAGAAUAAUGACGGUACCAUCAGAGGAAGCCCCGGCUAACUCCGUGCCAGCAGCCGCGGUAAUACGGAGGGGGCAAGCGUUGUUCGGAAUUAUUGGGCGUAAAGAGUAUGUAGGCGGCUGGAUAAGUCAGGCGUGUAAGCCCACGGCUCAACCGUGGAAUUGCGUUUGAAACUAUUCGGCUUGAGUGCAGGAGAGGAAGGCGGAAUUCCCAGUGUAGCGGUGAAAUGCAUUGAUAUUGGGAAGAACACCGGUGGCGAAGGCGGCCUUCUGGUCUGUUACUGACGCUGAGAUACGAAAGCCAGGGGAGCAAAGGGGAUUAGAUACCCCCGUAGUCCUGGCCGUAAACGAUGGGCACUAGGUGCGGGAGGUAUCGAUCCCUUCCGUGUCGCAGCUAACGCAUUAAGUGCCCCGCCUGGGGAGU
rnacentral:rRNA from 1 species